AUGCCUGCGUCUGCGUGGUGGGUUUGUGGGUUCCUCCCGUUCCUGGCGGCGGCCGCGGCCGCCGCGGAUCCGGCGAAGGGGAACUGGGAGCCGCUGAUUCGGCUGCCGACCGAGAAGGGUGAUGCCCCUGCCCCUGCCCCUGCCGCGCCGGCGGCGGAGGAAGGGGUGACGAAGUGGGCCGUCCUCGUUGCCGGCUCCUCCGGCUACGGGAACUACCGGCACCAGGCCGAUGUGUGCCAUGCCUACCAGAUCCUGAGGAGGGGGGGCCUAAAGGAGGAGAACAUUGUGGUGUUUAUGUACGAUGAUAUCGCCAAAAACAGCCUCAACCCAAGGCCUGGAGUCAUCAUCAACCAUCCUAAAGGCCAAGAUGUUUACGCUGGUGUUCCCAAGGACUACACUGGUAAACAGGUCACCGCUAAAAACUUCUUUGCAGUUCUAUUGGGGAACAAAACCGCGGUUACUGAAGGGAGUAGGAAGGUGAUAAACAGCAAACCAAAAGACCACAUCUUCAUCUAUUAUGCGGAUCACGGGGGUCCUGGUGUUCUAGGUAUGCCCAACAGGCCAUAUAUUUAUGCUGGCGACUUCAUCAAAGUGUUACGAGAGAAGCAUGCUUCCAAAAGCUAUUCGAAAAUGAUUAUAUAUGUAGAAGCAUGUGAAAGUGGCAGUAUAUUUGAGGGUUUACUGCCAGAAGAUCUUAAUAUUUAUGUUACAACAGCAUCAAAUGCGGUCGAAAAUAGUUGGGGAGCAUACUGCCCUGGGAUGAAAUCAUCACCUCCUACUGAAUAUGAUACCUGUUUAGGAGACAUCUACAGUGUUUCUUGGAUGGAAGACAGUGAAACUCACAAUCUAAAGAAGGAAACACUCAAGCAGCAGUACGAGGUGGUUAAAACGAGAACAUCAAAAUCAAAGGAAUUCGAUAAGGGUUCUCAUGUCAUGGAGUAUGGUGACAAGACAUUCAAGGACGAGAAGCUUUUCCUUUAUCAAGGUUUUGAUCCUGCAAAUUCCAAUGUAGCAAACAGGCUGCUUUUGCCCGACCUGGAGGGUGCAAUCAAUCAAAGAGAUGCUGAUAUUCUUUUCAUGUGGAAAAGGUAUGAGAAGUUAAAUGGGGGAUCGGAAGAAAAGCAGAGGGUUCUUAAGGAGAUCAAAGAAACUGUGGUACACAGGAAGCAUCUCGACAGCAGUAUCGAUUUCAUCGGAAAGCUUGUCUUUGGAUUUGAAAAUGGGCGUACAAUGCUUGAGGCUGCUAGAAGCUCUGGCCAACCAUUAGUCGACGAUUGGGAUUGCCUGAAGAGGACGGUGCGACUUUUCGAAUCCCAGUGUGGAUCACUUACUCAGUAUGGCAUGAAACACAUGAGGGCGUUUGCAAACAUAUGCAACAAUGGCAUCUCCGAGGCCGAAAUGAGGGAAGCAAGCAUCAGUGCUUGUGGCGGUUACGACUCGGCCAAGUGGAGCCCACUGGCUGUAGGGCACAGUGCCUGA
rnacentral:rRNA from 1 species